rnacentral:lncRNA from 1 species
UGUUUGCUGAUAAGCUACUCAUCUGAUUGUUCUUCUUGCCCUCGUUCCCCCUGAGAUGAUGACCUUCUGUCUUUGCUUGGCUCCCCUUCAGCUUCUUUCUGAUCAUGCUCCCCUUCAGACUCUGUGAUCAUGGGAUCAUCAUCUUUUGGCUCCCCCUCAGAUGAUGAUACUCUUUCUGUAGCUGAUGUCUUCUUCUCUG